ensembl:lncRNA
GAAAGACAGAAAGAGAGAGUAAGGAGUGGAGAAAGACAGAAAGAGAGAGUAAGGAGUGGAGAAAGACAGAAAGAGAGAGUAAGGAGAGGAGAAAGAGAGAAAGAGAGAGUAAGGAGUGGAGAAAGAGAGAGUAAGGAGUGGAGAAAGACAGAAAGAGAGAGUAAGGAGUGGAGAAAGACAGAAAGAGAGAAGAGAGAAAGAGAGAAAGAGAGAGUAAGGAGUGGAGAAAGAGAGAGUAAGGAGUGGAGAAAGAGAGAAAGAGAGAGUAAGGAGUGGAGAAAGACAGAAAGAGAGAGUAAGGAGUGGAGAAAGACAGAGAGAGAGAGUAAGGAGUGGAGAAAGAGAGAGUAAGGAGUGGAGAAAGACAGAAAGAGAGAGUAAGGAGUGGAGAAAGACAGAAAGAGAGAGUAAGGAGUGGAGAAAGACAGAAAGAGAGAGA